GACAGAGGGGGCAAGCGUUGCUCGGAAUUACUGGGCGUAAAGGGCGCGUAGGCGGGAUGGCAAGUCGGUCGUGAAAUCCUUCGGCUCAACCGGAGAAAGUCGACCGAUACUGCUGUCCUUGAGGGUUGCAGAGGAGACUGGAAUUCCCGGUGUAGCGGUGAAAUGUGUAGAGAUCGGGAGGAACACCGGUGACGAAGGCGGGUCUCUGGGCAACCCCUGACGCUGAGGCGCGAAAGCGUGGGGAGCAAACGGG
rnacentral:rRNA from 1 species